UGGAAGGAGGAUGUCACAAUGGCAGAUUUUCUCCGGGUGGUGCCAUGUGUGACAUGGAAACAUAAGAGGUUUCAACUGUGUUUCCUGUAGAAGACUAUGGCACAAGAAAGACUCCUCUCUCCCCUGGUGGACUGAGAAUUGGUUAUCUGAGAGGUGGUAACUUGAUCAAAAAUCCAAGAGGAGGCAGAGUUGAUCCUCAGCUGCCCAUGAACUGAUAACUCCCCUCAAAAAUGUCUUUCUACAGAGAAUUGCAGACAGCUAUUGCAACACUCCCUUUCGGUAAAAAGGCACUGGCAUGAGUUGCCAAGAGAAUCUGUGGCUGCAUCACCCCUGGAAUUGUUCAAGGACCUGUUGAACUGGGCUCAGAACAACCUGGUCUAGUGGAAGGAGUCCCUGCCUAUGGCAGAGGGUUGAAAUGAGAUGGUCUUUAAGGU